CCCUGAACUAAGCGUCCAAAGUACUCUGCUUCAGUGUCGUUUAAAUACCCUUUACAUGUUUUCUUCCUUCUCACACUUAGUGCUUUAGCAGUGGGCAGUCGGCUUGGAUUUCUCCACAGGAACAACUUCUCACCUGGAUCAGGACUGUUGGAUGCUUUUGUUUUCCAGUGCUGACAUUCAGGGUCAUCGCCAUCUCAUAAGGCAGAAUUCCCGCCUAGAGGCUUCUCCCUUGGUGAUCCUACAUUCCAUCCAAUCAACAACCAAUAUUAUCCAUCACAUUAAGUCCACUCAUUUAGGAUAUCCUGUCAAAAUACGAUUCUGAAGCUAGAUCUCAGACUUUCUGCACUUUAUUAUAUUACUUUAUGGAACAUAAUUAAAAUUCCAGAUAAACAAUA
rnacentral:sRNA from 1 species